AAGUCGUAACAAGGUUUCCGUAGGUGAACCUGCGGAAGGAUCAUUACAGAGUUCAUGCCCCUCGGGGCAGACCUCCCACCCUUUGUAUACAUUGCCUUUUGUUGCUUUGGCGAGCCGCCUCUCGGCCGUCGGCCCCGGCCGGCGCGCGCUCGCCGGAGACCCCCAAACCCUGUUUUACAGUGUCGUCCGAGUACUAUAUAAUAGUUAAAACUUUCAACAACGGAUCUCUUGGUUCUG
rnacentral:misc_RNA from 1 species